UCGGUCCUUCUGGCUCCCACACCAUGUUUGCUCUUCCUUCCACAGCCCCAGCUUUCUGCUCUGAUGUCUACAGACAAGCUUUGAAAGCUCCUGCCAAGGCUGGUGUCUGUGUCAGGCCCACUGUCUCCAUCCAGGGUCACGCUGUCUUCCCCGCUGACCCAAGGAGAACGCCUGUCUCUUUUUACAUCCUGUUUGCAAGGCGAGACCACCUUGCCUCUCAAUACAGAAGAUGAUGUUAAUGGAAUAAUUUCAAGUUUUGUUUUCUUCUGUUUCAGCUUCUAUGCAUACAGGUUCUGGCCCAAGCUCCAAGGUAUAAAGAAGAGUAUUGAGAAACUUCUGAGCCAUUGCACUCAAGCUGUCCCUUUAUUUUCCACAUUAUUCCUCCUGUCCCAUUAGAACAGUGCCCCAACACUGUUCCUUUGGGAUGAUGUUCACUAAAGUAUUGGGCACAAACACUGAUCACCUGUGGAAGUGUUAGCUCCCUGGCCUGCCCCAAGAGAGGGCCAAGUGCAGAGAAAGAGGAGUGUCUGGGAACUGUCACCAAACAGCAGGUGACCUAUGGGAUGGGCUGAUGGGGUGGGGUAGGACAUUGGCCGGUAUGAAGUGCAUCCAUAAUACCCCAAAAGACUAACAGCCUACAACAGGACAUGCCUCCUAAGGCGGAUUGAAUAACUAGGGCUCAUUUGGAGAGACAGCCAUCCAGGACAGGGGACACCAUAAAACUGACCCAAACAGAAUUGCUCUUGGCGUCAGUGACCACAGGUACCCAUGCCACCUUGCAUCAGAAUACCAGCCUCUAGCCUCUCUUUGCUAGCUGCCUUUAAUUAGUUGGACCCAGGACUUGGUGAUGUCCAGGUAGCGAUGGAAAAACUAGAGAGGUACAAGGAAGGACCCCGGAGGGGGUUUUAAGGCCAUGACAAGCCAGAGGCAUCUCUGUGACUCUGAGCGUAUUCUUGCUAUAACAGGUAUUCUUUGCAUUAAGAGUAAUGAAUCACCCCUUAUUUAAAACAUGGUGAGUAGUUGAGAUUAUUAAGAGU